rnacentral:snoRNA from 1 species
AAAAAAGCAGGGGCCUGCUCCCUUUCCUUCCUAUGGGCCGGUCUCUCGUAUAAGUCAGGGAAACCAAGCCCAUUGUUAUUGGGUGAACCUACGUCUUAACCUAUGGCUCGAGGUUCAGUAAAUGAUGGCACAUUU